rnacentral:snRNA from 1 species
AUUAUUUUUUGUAAAAAAAAAUCUGUUCUUAUCAGUUUAAUAUCUGAUACGUCCCCCCAUCGGGGGACUAACAUAUUAAAUGGAUUUUGUCGAACAGGGAGUCGGAAAUGGGGCUUGCUCCGUCCGCUCCACGCAUCGACCCGGUAUUGCAGUACCUCCGGGAACGGUGCAACACUU